rnacentral:lncRNA from 1 species
GCACAAACACCUAGUUUUAAUGUGUCACUAGGACAUUUUUGUGUGGUUGAAGGAGGUGGGGUACUAGCCUGAGGUGGAGGACUAGCAUUUGGUGUUGUUGAAGGUGGUGGAGAGCUAGCAUUAGGUGUUGUUGAUGGUGGUGGAGGACUAGCAUUUGGUGUUGUUGAAGGUGGUGGAGGGCUAGCAUUAGGUGUUGAAGGUGGUGGGGUACUAGCCUUAGGUGGAGGGCUAGCAUUAGGUGUUGUUGAAGGUGGUGGAGGACUAGCCUUAGGUGUUUUUGAUGGUGGUGGAGGGCUAGCAUUAGGUGUUGAAGGUGGUGGGGUACUAGCCUUAGGUGGAGGGCUAGNNNNNNNNNNNNNNNNNNNNNNNNNNNNNNNNNNNNNNNNNNNUUGAUGGUGGUGGAGGACUGGCCUUAGGUGUUUUUGAAGGUGGUGGGGUACUAGCCUUAGGUGGAGGGCUAGCAUUAGGUGUUGUUGAAUAUGGAGGAGGACUAGCCUUAGGUGUUGUUGAUGGUGGUGGAGGACAAGGUGAAGGUGGUGGAGGGCUAGGCUUAGGUGUUGGAUGAGAGAAUGCUGAAUAAGCAAGGAGAGAAAACAAUAUAAUGAGUGCACUAAGUUUGUUGGAAGCCAUUGUUAAGAAAUGAAGACUAAUGUUUUUGUGUGUUUUGAUGUUUGAAUAAUAGAAUGAGAAACAAAGGGGGAAUUGGAUCACUUUUAUAGGCAAUUGUUUUUUAGUGUUGUUAAUUUUUUCCUACUAGACUUCUAGAAUGUCUCAUAACUAAGUCAAACCAUAUUAUAGAACAAUUGCUAUUAAUAUUAAUUUGUUAAAGUCAAAUUUACAUUAGAUAUUUUUUAUCUUAUUUAUUUGUAACACUUUAGUUAUUUAUAUAUAUCUUUUUAUCAUUUAAACUUUUUAUUUUUUAUAACAUGCACAUAUAAAUUAUUUUUCAUAUUUUUUUAUUAAAAAAAUGCAUAAUUUUAUUUUUCAAUUUUUUUAUUAGAAUUAAACAAAACCAUAAUUUUGACAAACAUCGUUCAUUAUCUUCAUUAAUAUCUUUGUAUCUCUAAUAUUUGAUUUCUGCCAUUAAGAAGAUACCAACAACAACAACAAUGUUUUGCUUUUUGAAUUUUGAAUUUUUUGUUUUUGUUUAAAGAAGAUAAAAAUAUGAAUAUAUUGAUGAAAAUGAUGAAUGAUUUUCAUCAAAAUUUUGAGUUUGUUUAAUUUUAAUUAAAAAAAUAGAAAAAAAAAUUAUAUGUGCGCAUCAUAAAAGAUAAAUGUCCUAUAUUAUCUUUACAUCAAUACUUGAUAAAAUUAUUUUGACAAGUAUUAUUUUUUGUCUAAUAGUCUAGUGGCUACAAAUUUCACUUUAAAAGUGAAUAAAUGGGUCCGGGUUUUGAACUCAUGCUCGUGCAUAAAAUAUGCGAUGUCCUUACCAACUGAAUUAAGCUCACAUAGACUAAAAUUAUUAUCUUUAUUUCAUUUAUAAACAUUUUCUUAACAUGUGUGAAAUAAGUGCGGAGGAAGAAAUAGUAGAGAGAUCUCUCCUUAUAGUGGCGUAUGCAAGAGUUUAAUUAUUUGUAAGAUUUAAUUAUAGAGGUUUGAUUAAUGAAAUGUACUCUUCAUUUUAAACUAUUCUUAUUCUACAUUGUUGGGGAGCAUGAAUAGGCAAAAUUUAGUGUUAUACGCUUGAAAAAUAUGAACAAUACUCUUAUAUAGUGAUUUGAGAAGAGAGUGUAAAGAGAAGAGGAAAAAAAGAAAGAAAGGUAUGUAUGAACAAUGUAUAAUGUAAUAUUUUUGUCUAAAUAAAUGUGUUCAUAUAACAUUUUUGUUCUUCAAAUUAGUUAAUAGUUGGUAUCAGAGUGAAGUUUAAUUUAAAGUGGUCGACUUGAGUAAACAAUCUCUAAUGUGAUAUAGUUGCAUGGAUGAUCUCACCGCGUGAAAAAGAUAUAGUUGUGUAGCACAAGAUUAGAGUACAUGCCUGGCAUGUGUCUCAAGCUAUAGCUAGCAAGACACAACCCACCUGUUUUUGUUGUGUGUGACUUAAAUUCUAUAGUUCCAAUAUGUUUCGAGUGCCUGGCGUCUUGAUCCCAACUGUGAGGAACUUCAUGUCGCGCACGAGGCGCUUCAGGGGGCGUGUGCGCCUCAUGGCGAGGCGCUUCACUAAAAUCAUGUUUAAUUAAUAAGAGGAAUUCAAUUUCAAUACUUCCAACCCUAAAAUCAAAUAUAGAUUGACUUUUUAGAUAAAUUAGGAGCAUUAUGAGACAUCAUAGUGACUAGUAGACAUCAAAGAGACAGCUAGUAGCAUUAAUCUUAUACCUCUAAAUACAGAAUGACUAGUUAAACAAAAGAUGAAAAAAAUGUAGUAGCGAAACAGAGUUAGGAAAAAGAUAAGGAAUUACACACAUAUUGACAAGUUGUUUUUUCUGACAAAAUACACGUUGACAAUUUGUGAUUGUGAUAUUUUGCAUGUUGUUUUCAGCCUAUUACGUUAAAAUUAUAAUUAGAAAAUGGGGUACGUAGAUCGAGUUUGUCUUUGUUUCAUUUCAUCCUUGUUACUAGGUUGUUAACAUGAAUUAUUGAAAUCAAUACACAUUCCUAGAAUUCUUAUGUCGGUAUAUGCAUGGUUACAAUUGCAGUGGCUAUAGCAAAGUCAGCACAUCCUUUAGAAGGUGACGGAUGUAAGAGUCAAAGUAAAUAAAUAUGAUUUUAUUAUUAUUAAAACAAAAUCCACCGCAAUUAAAAUUGCAUAAAGGUCUUAGUUGGCUAACGAACUAGAAGACAAUGAAAGAGGAUUAAUCAAAGAGUAUUUUAAUUAAGAUAUGAAUGUUGCCUAUACAAAUAUUAGCUAUAAUAAAUGUCGAUAUUCGACUAAACUCAACGAUGGUGUGUGUUUCUGUUUCCUAAUUGUUGAUGCUUGUACAUUGCAUUGCACCCCUAUAUAUUUUGCGGCGUUUUCUGGUAGUUUGUCCAUGCAACACAUCCUCUCAAAUCAUAUAUAUACUCCCUCCGGCCUCAUAUAUAAGCAAAAGUGACUUUUUUAAAUCCAUUGAAAAAUGAAUGUAUUUAGUCUAAAAUAUAGACCAAAUACAUCACUUUUUCAAUGAAUCCAAAAAAGCUAUUUUUGUAUACAUAUGAGGCCGGAGGAAAUACUAUUUCUAUCAACAAAUAAACACAAUAAUAAAACAAUAUGCAAUUAAAAUGAAAUUCCCUCACCUUGCAAGAACUUGCGAGGUGCAAACAAAUACAUGGCAACAAACAUAAUAAAUUGUCUCCAUGACCAUAGUUUAUUUGGCAGUAACAUCACACUAUAUAUGCAAAUUAAACUUGGAGUUCAAAUUUCAAACCACUACUAAAAACAGGCUUAUUAGUGCGAGUCUUUAAGUGGAGGUUUUAUAAAACCCCCGAAAAUUAGGAGAGAAUAUAAAAUACGAAAAACAAUUUCACUCAAUGCACUCUUGAAGAUUUUUUUAACAUUAGACUUAUUCACUUUUAAAAGUAAAAUUCUAGUCACUAGACUAAAAAACAAUAAAUCUGAUGCACAAGGGACACCAAGAUUUUGACAUGGAAACCUUGCAACGUCGACCCCCAAAAGUAAUGAUAAAAAAGCUAAAACCCCCUCCGUUCCUAAUCUUGAGUUCUUCUAUCUUUUUAUUUUUAUCCUAAAAUAAUGUUCUUUUAAUAAAUCAAUGUACAAUUAAUUAUGUUUUACUAUUUGUACCCUUACAGAAACAAAAUACAUUCAUUAAAUAAAUUAUAUUUUUUCUUAAUAAAUUAAGGGUAAAAAUGACUUAACUUAUUCAAAUUUAUUAUUUCUUAAUUGAUAUACCAAACUCUAAAAGAACCAAAUAUUAGAGAUAAAGAGAAUACUAUAUACAUCAUUCACUAAAUUUUACUCUUUGUUGGGAGGUGAACAUUUUUUUUUUGAACUGCUAAAUUUUAUUAAUAAUGCAACUGAGCCCAAGACAAGCAUGGUACACAUACAAGUACAUCACAAAGGAAGAAAAAUAAACUAGUGAAAACAUCUAAUCCACCAAUACUCGUUACAUGCGCUUAAAUUAAAAAUCCCUGAACAAACUACUUCAAAAGUACAACAAAAUCAAAAUAACAGCAUACCAACGCCUCCACCCAUCCUCCUCAACAUAAACCUCAUCGCAUCAGCCACAACCGAAACGACAUUCUCGAAGCCAAACAAGAUUCGCUGCACCAAACACCAAAACCAAAACCUUUGAAAGACACCAACACCAACACUAACACCAAAACCUUUGAAUGACCCGAAUCGAGACAAUAAGCCAAACCCUUUGGAAUAUCAGCAGUGAUUACAAUAAAGGACGGAAUUGGAUUAAAAUUAUGUUCUCAUAUAUACAUUUGUGUGUUGAGCCGAUGAUGGAUAAGAUCCGAUUCAUUUCUUUCUUAAAAAUGGUUUUGGGUAAGAAAGUCAGGAUCUUCACGUACCUUUUACGAGGAACACUUUCUAUGCAAGUGCUAAUGUUUUAUUUCAUAUCUUUUUCUUGUUGCUUUCAUUUGGUGGACUUUCUGUUGUGUCACAUCUUCUCUCGAUAUAUAUACUUUUAUUUUGGGUUUGCCUCUUGUUUUAUUGGAUUGGAAAUACCCUGGGGGUCCUUUUAUUUUUCUUUAUAUUCAAGUUUUAUACCAAAAAUACACAAUUGUCACCCGUUUCAUUUUCAUCCAUAUGAUAGUUGUCUAUAAAUCAAAUAUUAAUGUGGUAAAUGUUUCUGUAACCAUAAAAAUAAAAUAAAAGUGGUGAAUGUUUCUUUUGGAGCUACCGUAUCGUUGUAUUCUUAAUCAUUAAAUAAAAGUGUUUAUAUAUUUAAUAAUUACUUCUCUUAUAUAUCUUUUUCACCUUCUAUUUAUUUUAUUAUCAUUAACUCUUGGUUNNNNNNNNNNNNNNNNNNNNAGUGACAAGCAAUCAUAAAAUGAAACUUUGCCAAAUUUAUUAAAAUUCAAAGAACAAGUUACUAAAUGAGGCAAACAUGCUUACCCCAUUUUUAAAAUGAUAUAAAUGCCACACACAAAUAGAUAUAGUGCGUAAAUAUUGACGAUGAGUUUAGCAGAAUUACGGUAAUAAUGUAAUUUUGACGAAAAUCACACUUUAAAGUUUCAACAAAAUUAUAAUAUCACUGAUCGUGCACACAAAUAAUAGUAAGUAUGGCUUGAACCUUUGAUAUGAAAUUCUAAGAACAUUGGAAACCAGAAGGAACAGAUUUUUCACAAGCACUAAGUAGAAGACUUAGUGUGACAGGUACAUCCAAGUUGAUACCAAGAAUAUUAGCCUUAAUAGCAGUACAAAGACAAAGUGCUGCAUCCAAAUCAGCCAAACCUUGAAUCAAUGCACAACACUUGCUUGAAGCAGGACUUCCAACAAUAACAUUAACAAGUCCUAAAACAUCAGCACAAACACCUAGUUUUAAUGUGUCACUAGGACAUUUUUGUGUUGUUGAAGGAGGUGGAGCACUAGCCUUAGGUGGAGGACUAGCAUUUGGAGUUGUUGAAGGUGGUGGAGUACUAACCUUAGGUGGAGGACUAGCAUUGGGUGUUGGUGGUGGAUUACUAGCCUUAGGUGGAGGGCUAGCAUGUGGUGGAGGAUGUGUUUUUGAUGGUGGUGGAGGACAAGGUGAAGGUGGUGGAGGGCUAGGCUUCGGUGUUGGAGGUGGUUUGCAUGAACCACAAGCAUGAGAGAAUGUUGAAUAAGCAAGGAGGGAAAACAAUAUAAUGAGUGCACUAAGCUUGUUGGAAGCCAUUUUUACACUAAUGUUUUGUGUGUUCUGAUGUUGAAUAANNNNNNNNNNNNNNNNNNNNNNNNNNNNNNNNNNNNNNNNNNNNNNNNNNNNNNNNNNNNNNNNNNNNNNNNNNNNNNNNNNNNNNNNNNNNNNNNNNNNNNNNNNNNNNNNNNNNNNNNNNNNNNNNNNNNNNNNNNNNNNNNNNNNNNNNNNNNNNNNNNNNNNNNNNNNNNNNNNNNNNNNNNNNNNNNNNNNNNNNNNNNNNNNNNNNNNNNNNNNNNNNNNNNNNNNNNNNNNNNNNNNNNNNNNNNNNNNNNNNNNNNNNNNNNNNNNNNNNNCUUAACAAUGGAAGAUUGCUGGAAAUCUUCAUCAAUCCCUUUAACUUCUUCAAGUUUCGAUGGUUGUGGUGCUUCGAUGCUGUUCACUGAUGAACAACCCUGUCUAGGUACACACAUGUGGGUAGACAGCAUAUUGCUAUUUGGGGUUGAUGGUUUCUGAGAAAAUUUUGUAUCAACUUCCUUGUCCAUCUCUAUCACUUUGAAUCUGAUCCUUUUAUGCUUCAAUGCGUGAUCAAUAGUAAAAGGUUCAUCACAUACAAAACAUAAACCCAAUUCCAUCUUCUCCUCCACAUCGAGAGCACUCAAAAUUUUCACCAAAUUAUGUUUUGAACCCAUNNNNACGGGUAAAUAGAUUCUAGGGACGAAACCGAUAGAAUCGAGUCUUAAAGUAGGAAUUCUAAUGAAUUGAGUAGAAUUCGGUACAAAUGAGAUUAUGCAAACAUGAGAGAGUUUUGAUUCUUGAGAAGAAGAUAAUUUGUUGAAUAUUAAUUGAUUUCUUUCAAAUGAGGCACAAGAUCUUUAAAUACAACUCUCAGGGCUAAAAGAGUAAAUAACAUAAAAUAAACUAUUUAUUUAAAAUAAACUAUUAAACUAUACUUAAUUCAUAAAGUGUUCAACCUCCACUUUUCUAAGUAAUGUGGGAUUUAACCACUCACACUUACCACAACUAUCUCCCACUCAAGUGUGAGUCCAUCCAUUCUUGGAUAUGCUCCCCGGCCCUCAAGCAGAAGCUUUCUUCAUCCUACACUUGUACCACUGUAAGCCACAUUGCUCGACGGGACUCGCCGCCUGACCACCUUUGUCAAGAAGACUUUCGAUACAUGGAGCCAGUUCAACCCUUUGUCGAUCCAUCGACUCUAAUACCAUUGUUGGGUCAUUACGAGGGGACAACCGGUGGAUCAUCCCCAUUGGGUUCAAGAACAACUUCACAUGUGAGUUGGACACCACACUUUUAUAGGCGCACACAUAAAUGAUAAAAAGUAAAUCAUAAAUAUAAUUUAUUCACAUCAAUUGACGACAUUGACUAUUUGAGUUUUGUAUGUGUGCCCAAAUUUAAAUAGUUCGUGGUUGUGCCCAUAAAAGUGUUCCGGCCUCCAUAUUAUUUUAGAAAAUUUGAUUGAACUUUCUAAAUAAUCUUUCCAAAAAAUGACCCAAGAACAUGGUCAUUAUAUUCUUAUCCCUAAAAUAUUGUGUAACUUAUUUCAUAAUUUUUUUUAUCAUCAAAUAUAUAAACAUGUAUACAGUAAAUGAGAAUAUCAAAAUCAUAAAAUUUAUCGUAAUAGUUGCACCUAAUUUUGCAAGAAUCAAAAUAAUCAAAUUACUCGGGUCUAAAAUUGCAAAACAAACUUGCAAACGGCAAAACAGAAUAACAAGAGUUGCAAGACUCUAAGUUAACUAAAGUUAUGGCUCACUAAAGUUAUGGCUCACAAAAUAACAAGGUUGAUGCAAUUUACCAGUUUAUACUAAUAAUAUGAAUGCAGCUGUGAGUUUGUUUACAAUAUUUUAUUUUUUUUAGCAAUUUUAAUUUUAUAUUAUAUCAAUGUAAUCUAUUAAUCUAAAUGAAUAUUUGAAAUAACAGAAGUGCAAGACACUCUAAAUUAACUAAAGUUAUAUUUUACAAAAUAACAAGGUUUAAGAUUGAGAUAUGUUACGACAAAAAGUGAAAAAAAUUAUUGGAUUUAGAAUAAAAAAAAAAAUUUAAUGAGCUGAACAAACUUUUAUUUACAAUAAAAUAUUAGUGUUUUUUUAUAAAAAAAAAAAAAUUAGUUUUGUUAGUAAUUAUGUUGGGAGUGAUUUUCAAACACUCAACCAAUUCCUUACCACUCCACUUCUCAACUCUACAAUAUCUUCAAGCCAUCAUAUUCUAUCCCCUAUCAAAUCAAAAUACAAAAUAUAUGCACAGUUAGGAAAAUGAUUAGGAAUUAGAUGUUGAUGUUUGAAGUGUGAAUUGAGUUUAUAUCAGAUCAAAAAGUAGACGUUAUGAUCCAUGAAACUAAUAAUACCUUAAGGUUUUCCGUUAAUUAUGAUGUGUUGUCUAACUCACUUGUGUAGUUGUUCAAGACCCGAUAUGAUGAUCCUUAAACCCCCUCGUGACCCAUGCAACAAUAGUAUCAGAGUUAAUGGUUUGACGAAGGGUUCGAUCGACUCUAGCUUGUAUGUCUUCCUAACAAAGGUGGUCAGACAACAUGUCCGUUGAGUGCCACAACUGCGGUGCAAGUGUAUGGAUGAAAAAAAUUCCGUUUGAGGGAGAACAUGCCCAUAAAAAAAUGGAUGGACUCACACUUGAGGGGAAAAUUGUUGGUAUUUCAAGUGUGAGUUGAGUCUCAUAUCAAAUGUAGUGAAUUUUGAACAUUUUAUUAGUGAAAUGACCCAUGAACGUAAUGCCUUAAAGUUUGAGUUAAGAUGUGGUGUUCAAUUCGUUGAAGACCUAUAUGAUCUCGAAUCCCCUAGUAACCCAACAUUAGAUACAUAUUGACAAGUUGUUUCUUCUUGACAAAACACACAUCUAGUUGUGAAUGGGAUAUUUUUUUGCAAGUUGUUUAAUACGUUAAAUUAUAUUGAGAAACUGGGGUAUAGAGUUUGCCUUGUUUCAUACCCAUUACUAGGUUGUUAACAUGAAUUAAAUUGAAAUCCAAAAUAGGAAAAUUUUGUGCAGUAUAACACACGCACAAGUUCAUAUGCCUACAAAUUUUGAGUCGGCUAGGCUCCGAUUGCAGUGACUAUAGGGCAAGUUCAACAUCCUUUAGAAGGUGAGAGAUCAUAAGAGUCAAUGAUGUAAAUAGGAUUAUUUAAUUAUUAGAACAAAAUCAACAAUAUACAAUUAAACUUGCUUUCAUUCAUAUAUUUGUUAGAAUUAUUGGUUCAAACACGCGUUCUUACAUGUGUUUUCCUUUCACUUCUGACCUAAGUAAUAAUUAAUUUUUAAUAAAUUUCUUUUUUUUUAUAAGCAAAAUAUAUUAUAAUGGAGUAUAAGGGGUACUUGAACCCUUAUAAUUCAAAGUCAGAAGUUAAAUGCUUUGAAUACAUCCCAAAGGGUCAUGACACCAGUCCUUAAAUGAUAAAUUAGAGUUUCGGCCAUACCGACUACUAAACCAAACCCACGAACUGAAUUUAAUGUCAUCCACAAGAAGAAGAGCAUUUGGAAAAGCUCCCUUGAAAAUCACACUAUUUCUAAGCUUCCAUAUGUUCCAAGAAGUUGCCAGCCAAAUCAAAUGUUUAACCCGUCCACCCUUCUUUGAUUUUACCAUGUCACCAAAUAGCGCAAAAUGAUUCCAACCUUUUUUAUUCGGUGGAAGUCUCUUUCCUAUCCACUUAAAAAUCGCUUCCCAAAUUCGUUUGCUAAACGGACAGAGGAAAAAAAGAUGGUUGCAAUCCUCAUUAUCAAGAAAGCAAAAAACACAAGAUAACUCAUGCACGUUAAUAAGGAUACCUCUGUAAAAAAAUAGUGAGAGAAUUUAAGAUAUUAAGUCAAACUCUCAAUUCUAAGACGGUAUCAGAGUCUCUCGAAUAUUCAUUGAGUUUAAUAGUAUUGGGCGUAAGAGGGGUAUGUAAGGUGAGGCAAUUUCAUCCAUCUCACUUCCGAUGUGGACUUCUUAACCGUUGUCAUAGGGCACGUGUUUAGUGCGACAAAAAGUGAGUGUCAAGUAAGGUGGAAUUCAGUUGCAUUGUAAUAGUCAAGAGUGUCAUAUAUUUAUUUUACAAAUAAUCAAGUGUAUCACACCAAAACCAAACAUAUUAAUGUGGUUUUUCACAAGAUCAAGGAGAUGAUAUGAUUUUUUAUGUUUUUUUAAUGCGGAAUUUGAUAAGAUAUAUUUUUAAGGUUUCUAAAAGAAGGUGAAGAAUAAUUAAGUAGUACAGAAAGAUAAUUAGAAACAGGAUAAGAACUAGCUAGAUAUUUAUCGACAAGUUUUUUAUUUUUGUUGACAAAUUACACAUUGUCAAGUUGUUUUCAGCCUAUUACGUUAAAACUAUAAUUAGAAACUGGGGUAUAGAAUUUGCCUUGUUUCAUACCCAUUAGUAAGUUGUUAACAUGCAUUAUUGAAAUAAAAAAUAUAUAAGAAAUUUUGUCAGCAACACAUCCAAGAGUCCGAUUGCAUUGACAAUAUGGCAAGGUCAGCAUAUAUAUAUCCUUUAGAAGGUGACAGAUCUAAGAGUCAAUGUAAAAAUCAUUUGUUGAUUAUUAAAACAAAAUCAAUCACUAUUAUACUUGCUUUACUUUUUUUUUGAAGUCGUUUUAAUCUCCUCCCGAUUGCGUAUANNNNNNNNNNNNNNNNNNNNNNNNNNNNNNNNNNNNNNNNNNNNNNNNNNNNNNNNNNNNNNNNNNNNNNNNNNNNNNNNNNNNNNNNNNNNNNNNNNNNNAAAACGUUAUUGAGAGGUGUAACAUUUGGUGUCAAACUAGUUGGUGUCAACGGAUCCUGACUCUAUAUAUAUAUAUAUAUAAAUUAAAGACUUACUCAAACGAAUAUGAGUUACAAUACCCAUGUAUAUAAGUUUGGUGUUAAUGGUUCAUUCAAUGAAUUUUCAAUUUUAUAUAUAAAGGUCAUACAAUGUUCACAUAAUUAUAUUAAGUAGAAUAAUAAUUAAAAUAACACAUUAUAAGAGUAAUUACAUUUAACCAUAAAUAUCUUCAUUGUGCAAUAUCAUAUACUCGAUAGAAGUAUCAAUAUUAUACUUAUAUUUGUCUAUUAUGAACUUACAAAAUGUGAAAUUUGGGUGAAACACUAGCAUAAUAUAAUUUCGAGUGAUGGUCGGAAUAGCGAUCAGAGUUGUAGUCGGUGGUGACAACUGAUGGUGGUGGUUUUCAAUGGUCAAAGUGGUAGUCAGAGUGGUGAUGGGUGAUGGUGUAAUUGGUAAUAUGGUCAAACUGAUUAUCAAAAGUGAAUAGAAUAUUGAUCAACACUGAUCAAAUUAAUGGUCGAGAGUAAUCAAAGUGGUGGUUGACGAUAGUCGAUGGCGGUCCACGGAGUGGUGGUUUAAUGUGGGGUUUGGUUUUUAACAAUUGGUUUAGGAAUUAUAUCAUCGAGUUCCACAAGCAACUUACAUGCUCUACUCCAAUUCUCACAACUUCAUUAUACCAAUAAAACAAAAUACAAUAAUUCAUACAUUUACAAAUUUAAAUAUGAUCACAAGCAUAAUCAUGAAAUGAAAGGUCACCAAAUUUAUUAAAAUUUAAAGAACAAGUUGCUAAAUGAGGCAAACAGGCUUACCCCAUUAUUAAAAUUACACACAUCUCACGCAUAAAUAAAUAUAGUGCAUAUUUUCAAUUAAAGUAUGAAUUUAGCAAAAUCACAUUGACACACUUCGAUUUUGUCAAAAGUCACACUUUGUAACUCCAACAAAAUCAUAGUAUCCCUAUAAUUUAGUUAAAGUCAUUGUAAUUCCAAUUGUGCACACAAACAAUAACUGAAAUAAAAUUAAGUACCCGUGACCCUUGUAGAAACAUAAGUACUAAGCAUAUGGCUUUGAAGUACUUUUGACAUGAUCAAAUUCUAAGAACAUUGGAAACCAGAAGGAACGGAUUUUUCACAAGCACUAAGUAAGAGACUUAAUGUGAUAGGAACAUUCAAAUUGAUACCAAGAACAUUAGCCUUAAUAGCAGUACAAAGACAAAGUGCUGCAUCCAAAUCAGCCAAACCUUGAAUCAAUGCACAACACUUGCUUGAAGCAGGACUUCCAACAAUAAUAUUACCAAGUCCUAAAAGAUUAGCACAAACACCUAGUUUUAAUGUGUCCCUAGGACAUUUUUGUGUGGUUGAAGGAGGUGGGGUACUACCCUUAGGUGGAGUAGUAGCCUUGGGUGGAGGACUAGGUUUAGGUGUUGUUGAAUGUGGUGGUGGACUAGCCUUAGGUGUUUUUGGUGGUGGUGGAGGACAAGGUGUAGGUGGUGGAGGGCUAGGCUUAGGUUUUGGAGAUGGAGUUGGUUUGCAUGUACCACAAGCAUGAGAAAAUGUUGAAUAAGCAAGAAGAGAAAACAAUAUAAUUAGUGCACUAAGCUUGUUGGAAGCCAUUUUUACACUAAUGUGUUUUUGUGUGUUUUGAUGUUGAAUAUUAGAAUGAGAAAGAAAGGGAGGAUUAGACCAUUUUUAUAGGCAAAAUUUUGUGAGUGGUGUUAAUUUGUUUUUUUACUAGACAUUUAGAAUGUCUCAUCACUAAAAUAUUGCUCAUAAUAAUUGAGACCGAAUAAAAAUUAAAAUAUUCUUUUUAUUUUUUACUCAAAAAAUAUAUUAUCUAUCAUCUCAUCACCCCUCUCUAUCCCUCAUGUGUCUAUUUCCUCCCCUCACUUUCUCUGCCUCCAACCCUCUCGAUCUCCUAUCUCUCUUUUUGUUUUUUAAAUUAGGAUAGAUAUUAGUAGAUAUUUUUAUAUAUUAAUUAAAAUAGCACUAAUCACUUUACUUUUUAUCGAAUAGUUUGAUGGAUAGAAAUUUCAUCUUUAAGGUAGAUAAGUGAAAUGAUCGAAAUUCAAAUUCUGGCUCCUUACAUAUAUAAUGCAAUGUCCUAUCAACUGAGUUAAUAAGCUCACGGGACAUAGUCAUUUUAUUUUUAUUACACCCUUUCCAAUUUUUAUCAAUUACUAGUAAAUGUCAUUUUUAAUUUUCAAUAUAUUAUUAUUAUUAUUAUUAUUAUUAUUAUUAUUAUUAUUAUUUUCAAUUGGAUUUCUUAAUUAAUACUAUGUGUACCAUUUUAAGUCAAUAUUUUAUAUUUAUAUUUACAGUAAUAAUAAAUACAUCAAUACUCAAUAAGUUAAUUUGUUAAAAUUAUUAUUAUCUUCUUUUUUUUUUCAUUUACAAACAUUUUCUUAAUCUAUGUGAAAUAAGAAAGAAACAGUCUAGAUAUAUAUCCCCUUAUAGUGAAGGAUAUCUUGUGAUGGGAUACAAAAUUGAGGUGAACAAUAUCCAUAGAAUAUCCCCUUAUAGUGUAGGAUAUCUUGUAAUAUAAUGGGAUAAAAAUUUGAGGUGAACAAAAUGCAUAGUUUAUUUGUAAGAUCAUAGAGAGUUGAUUAAUGAGAUUUCACUCUUCAUAAUUUAAACUAUUCUACAUUUGAAGGGUUUCUGCAUUCUGCAAAGUAAAUUUGAGCUAACUAUAUAUAUAAAGCACUUGAAGUGGAACAUGAACUUUUGUGGGCAAAACUUGUGUUACACUUCAAGAAUAUGAACAAAUUGUACUCUUGUAAAAAAAAUACUAUGAAAAAAAAUACUUUUUGUCAAAAAUUAAUAAAGACUUAUAGAAUAACUAUAGUUAAUUAAAACUUCAUGUUUCUUAAUGAAGGUGAAGCAAAGAGUAGUAGGAAAACAGAGUUAGAAAAAUAAUAAAAGAAUUACAUGCAUGCAUGUAGUCAAGUUGUUUUUCUUGACAAAUAUUGUCAAGUUGUGAUUGGGAUAUUUUGCAAGUUGUGCAUUACGUUAAAAUUAUUAAGGAGAAAUAGAGUUUGCUUGGGAGUGAAGUCAAUAGAAAAUUUUGUGAGUAACAAAUGCACAAGCACACAUGAUUACAAAUUUUGAGUCGGCAAAGGUUCCAAUUGCAGCGACUAUAGAGCAAGAUUAAUUAGCAUCCUAUUAUUAGAAGGUGACAGAUCUAAGAGUCAAUGUAAAUAUGAUUUCAUUAUUAGAACAAAAUCAACUAUGAUUAAGCUGAUUUCAUUGACAAAUUUUCAUUUUAGUUCAAAAGAAUGUAGCGGUAUACUCACACAUACUAAAUGCUGAAAAGUCGAUAGUGAAUUCAAACUUUUACUGAAAUAUAUAUUUUUCUAUCGAUUUUUUUUUAUGUCUGUAAGUGAAGUGGAAAAUAGAAAAUUACAACACAAAAUUUCGAGGUCCGAAUAAAAGUGUACAAUCUUGUAAUAAGGGAAAACAAUAAAAAAAAUUUGAGAAAAAAAGAAGUAAAGACUACUAAUUUCAAAAACAAGAAAUAAAAAACAAUUUAGAGCAUCCACAAUGGAGAUACUCAUUUUUUAGUACUUAACUGAACCUCACGUGUACACAUCACUCAUUUAUAANNNNNNNNNNNNNNNNNNNNNNNNNNNNNNNNNNNNNNNNNNNNNNNNNNNNNNNNNNNNNNNNNNNNNNNNNNNNNNNNNNNNNNNNNNNNNNNNNNNNNNNNNNNNNNNNNNNNNNNNNNNNNNNNNNNNNNNNNNNNNNNNNNNNNNNNNNNNNNNNNNNNNNNNNNNNNNNNNNNNNNNNNNNNNNNNNNNNNNNNNNNNNNNGUUCACUUGCGAAAAUUAUCCAUCACUAUACAUCAUUAUAAAUGGGAUCCAUAAAAAUAAAAUAGGUACUAAUGAGACCCACAAUAACUAUACAUCUAUUUUGUUUUUGUGGAUCCCAUUUAUAAAGAUGUAUAGUUAUUUGUGAGAUGUGUUAUUGAUAAGGCCUAUUUAGAACUUUUUAAGAGAUGUUGGGUUGGAGGGAUUGAGUACUUAUUAGAUACUAUUAUUAAAAAAUUAUAAAUCAGUAAUAUGUACACGUGGAGCCCGGUUAAGUACUAAAAAAUGAAUAUCUCCAUUGUGGAUGCUCUUGGCAUUGACAUAUAGAGGAAUGUUAAGGUCAAACUAUCAAACAAACUCUUGUAGCCACAUUCAUCUCUUGGGCCACAUCAUCACCUAUUUUUAUUCUUUACCUAGUAACCGGUUCUUCAAGUUUUUACAACACUGUUAAUUUUUUAGUUUUAAUUUAAUUCUUGCAAGUGCGUAUUCAAGUUUCUAUAAUGAGAAAAUUUCUUUUUACCACCCUAUUAGGUUGGCGAAAAUACCCUCCUAUAUAUAAUUUUUAUCUUUAUCGUUAUAAAAGGAAUAAAACUGAUCACUCCUUAAACAACUCUUUAAUCACCUCCUUAACCCUAAUUUGUAUUUAAUUUCCCUCCAAACAGCUAUUUAAAUUAAAAUAAAAUAAAAAAAUUCGUAUUAAGGGUUCCCAUGAGUCAUAGAAUAUGCAGCUGUAAUUAUUAUUCUCAAAAAAAUAGGUUUCACAUGUUGCAAUAGUUUCAUUCCAUUUUCUCUGCAGACUUCCUCCCCAAUCGCCUCGACUAUCGCCCUCUACUUCCUCCCUCACCGCCUCCACUUUCGGCCAUUGUCAUCUGAAGAGCACCGCCACAAAGUAUACAAACCUGACCAGUUUGAAAUUGGCUUCUUCUGCUUCAUGGCCGAUGUUAAGAGUCCCACAUCGGUUGAGAGAUGGCCUGACUAAGUGUUUAUAUACUAGAGGCAAUCCUCACCUUACAAGCCGGUUUUGUAAGGAUGAGNNNNNNNNNNNNNNNNNNNNNNNNNNNNNNNNNNNNNNNNNNNNNNNNNNNNNNNNNNNNNNNNNNNNNNNNNNNNNNNNNNNNNNUAGUGCUGGGCGUGAGGGGGUGUGUUAAGAGUCCCACAUCGGUUGAGAGAUGGCCUGACUAAGUGUUUAUAUACUAGAGGCAAUCCUCGCCUUACAAGCCGAUUUUGUAAGGAUGAGUUAGGCCCAAUACUCAUUUCUAAGAGCCGAGAAUUGCUUGCUUCACCUCCGAUGCUCUUCAAAGUUAUUAUUUGUAUAUGUAUGUUUAGAAGUUAUUAUUGGAGUAAAUGUCAUGGACAAAGUUCUAUUUAUAUGAGUAUUUAUGAAUCUAAAAAUCAAAUUAUAUAAAUAUUAUAUGUUGAAUUUUAUCUAUUAAAUCAUUUGUUAAUGAUAAUGAUAAUGAUAUGCUGGUAAAAAAAAAUUCAUAAUAGUAUGCAUGUGAAUAUGAUACUUCACAAAACUCGUGCAACGCACGAGUCGGAGUCUAGUAAUCCAUAAACAUUCAUACAAAGCCAACCCACUUGUUAUUGGGAUAUAAGUUAUCAACUUCAACUCAUUCACAGUAUCUCUUUUCAUCCCAUGUUUCUUUACUACUCCACAAUAUGUAGAAAAAUUAGGAAAAUGUUUUCGGAAUUCUUUUUAGUGUAAAUUUUUACACUGAAAAAAAACUUUCGAAAAUAUUUUUCGAAAUUUUCUGGGUAUUUUUCGGGGUAGAAUAGAAAUGCAAGGGUGGAAGAGAAAAAUUCCAACUCAUCCUCCUACGAGUUGCACAGUCCAACAAGCUAAAAGAGUCCAAAGUUCUUAUGUUUUUUAAAAUAUUUAAAUCUGUACUUCUGAAAAAUAUUUAUAUUUUAUACAUGAGUAGAAAGCAAAAGAAUAUCAAUAAAUUUAGUUAAAGUUGCUACCACAAUGUAUUUUUUGUUUGUAGAUGAAAUGACAAUCACCACAAAAAAUUACAAAACAGCAAGAUCAUCGGUUUGAACCAAAUAAAAAUGUUUAAUCUAACUAUAUUUUUAUUUAUCAGUUGAAUUAAUUCUUACAUAUUUCUACUACCAUUUAUAUCAACUAUACAUAGACAAUUAUAACUGCACAUGUUUGAGCAUGUAACGACAAACUUUUUAAGGUUUUUAACUAGUUGCCCAUGGUUCAAAUUCGGUCGAUGGAACUUCUCUUUUUAAUGUGAAUUUUUACCUUAUCCGUCAUAGGUAUUUCUUAUGGAUAUUGGAUCUAACUGUCAUCCUAGAUAGAGAUCCAAUUUCCUUAUUUCCAGGCUAGAAAUGUCUGAAGAGUGAAGAUUAUAUCAAUCUGUAUCUAGCAUGUUGUGGUACACAUUUGCAAUAUAGAUUACACAUGAUUGAUAAAAGUUCAUUAAGUAGUGUACAAAAAAUAAUGAUUGUAAAUUGACAUUUGGCUUUAAAACUUGGUUUAACAAUGAUAUAUAUCAUUCAGUUCCACUAAUUAAGCAACUUACAUGCUCAAGUCCAAUAAAUAACCCAAAAAAGAACAAUUUACAAUGAAUCAAAUUGCAUAAUUUAAAUAUGACAAGAACAUUCAUUCCACAUAAAAAUAAAUACAGUAUAGUACACAUACACACUGUGAUUUUGAUAAAAAAAACCACACAUUAUAGUUUUAUCAAAAUCAUAGUAUCACUGUAAUUUCGUUAAACUCACUUUAUUUCGACCGUGCACACAAAAUAAGAAAAACAAUGAAAGUAUAGUAACAUGAGUACUAAGCAUAUCCCUUGAAGUACUUUUGACAUGAUUCUAAGAACAUUGGAAACCAGAAGGAACAGAUUUUUCACAAGCACUAAGUAGGAGACUUAGUGUGAUAGGAAUAUUCAAGUUGUUACCAAGAACAUUAGCCUUAAUGGCAGUACAAAGGCAAAGUGCUGCUUCUGAAUCAGCCAAACCUUGAAGUAAUGCACAACACUUGCUUGAAACAGGAGUUCCAACAAUAACAUUAUGUCCUAGAAUAUCAGCACAAACACCUAGCUUUAAUGUGUCUCUAGGACAUUUUUGUGAUGUUGGAGGAGUAGGAGUUGGAGGUGAUGUUGAAGGAGUGGGAGGAGGAGGAGGAGGACAAGCAUUAGGUGAUGGCGGUGGUGGGCUAGGCUUAGGUUUUGGUGGUGGAGGGCUAGGCUUAGGUUUAGGAGUUGGGUUGCAUGUACCACAAGCAUGAGAAAAUGUUGAAUAAGCAAGAAGAGAAAACAAUAUGAUUAGUGCACUGAGCUUGUUAGAAGCCAUAGUCAAUUAAGGAUGCAAAAAUGAAAAGAAUGUGACCAUUUUUAAGGGGAGAAUUGGACCAUUUUUAAUAGGCAACAUUUUGUGAGGUUCAGUCAUAUCAUGUGGAAAAAUCUGAUUGAGUGGAAGAGAGUGUGAUAUUGAUAAUGAUAAAUGAUAAUGUUUAAAUAGAUUUUUUGUAAGCUUGUGAAAUAAUGGUUUUAUAUAUUAGUGGUUGUUAAUUUUCUAAUUAAAAUAUUUGUUAUUUUUAAUAAUUUAUUUUUCAUAUUUUAUGAUAUUAUUAUUUCAUUUUACUUAGUAGCUUAUAUGUCAUGGGAAGGUUACAAUUCUAAAGAUGUUGUACUCUAAUUUCCUUCAUGAAUUAUUAGAAACCGAUUCAUCCGAUUCACAUUUUAAUUUAUCCUCAGGUUCUAGUCCGAAGCUAAUAAUGAAUGUGGAGAAACCUCAUCUUAUAUUAUAGUCUUAAUUAAAUUAACUUGGAGGAAUUUUCUAUUUAGUUAGUACAUCGAAACAACUAUAAAUUCUGCAAGAAUAUUAGGGUGUCUCUAUAAACAUUUGGAAUUCUUGUAAUUGCAAUUUUGAUUUUUCGGUUCACACAAUUAAGUUUUUUUUUGUACAUUAGUCUGUAAUUUUUCGAUUCUUCUUCAAAACUCUCACUAUGUGAAUAACAUUGGUUUAUUUUUUCAAAGAUGAAUAAGUUUUAGGAAAAUGUUAAACAGUGCUUCUGUGACACUCUUUAAGCAUCUUAAUAGUAAGUUUUUGUUAAAAUUUUAUGAAAAUGUAUGAAGUCAACACAUUGAAAAUUAAAAUAUUUCACUUUUUAAAUAAAUUAUUUCUUUAAAUGAAAUACUUAAAGAGUCACCUACCUUUUAGUAAAACCGUAAGUAUACAUAUGAAAAUUUCUCUUUUAAGUCCCAUGGGUUUCUCUUAGACACCUCAAAAUUUCAUUUUUAUUGUUCAUAAUCUACGUUCUGAAUUUGGUGUAGGUUCGAAACGUAAUUUUCGGACCAAUUUUAUAUUGAUAAAUUUCAAAUUUUAGAUUAUGAAAUUUUCAAAAAUAGAAACUUGAUCCUUAAUGAGAUUUGUAUCACCAUUAUCGUUUCUCUGCUUCUGAAAAUAAUGUGAAGAGAAUAUAUGCUUCAAAUUCAUCAUAAUUACAUUCAAGUGUAUGAAAGCAUCAAAGAGAAUAAAGUGAAGAGAAUCCAUUUAAAAAUACAUAAAGAAAAAUCAAUUUUUUUUCAAAAUUUAAAACAAACGCACCCUUAUUGUCAUUGGAUAAACCAGAGCAAUUCCUCUGUUUUGAAGACGAAGACGAACUUAUAGUAAAAUUGGUGAUGCAAAUUAAAUCUCAUUAAGGAUUAAACUUCUAUUUUGAAAAAUUUCGGAAUCUAAAAUCCAAAAAAUUUCAAUGUAAAAUUGGUUCAAAAAUUACAUUUUAAACCUACAUCAAAUUCAGAACGUAGUUUCCAAAUUGAAUUUUAAGAGCAAAAACAGAAUUUUAGAGGUAUAAGGAAAACAUGGGGGCCUAAAUAGAAAUUUUCAAUGCAUAUAUAACCAACCCACUUAUUAUUGGGCUUUGAAUUACCUAUUUAUCUUCUAUAUAUUAAGAUUGUAUGCAAUGCAGCUGAUAAUUAGAGUUUAGAAAGAUUGUAUGCGAUUAGUGUCUAAGACACUAAGAUGGUGUGUCUCUGCAAUUGUGUGAAUGAACUGCAUGAAUGUGGGAUCGGAAUUUGCUGCGGUAGAAAGAGCACGCAGUUAUGCACCGUAAUUGAUCUAAAUUAUUAAUUUUACAUUAAAGGAUUUAUAUUACAUAUACACCACUAAAAUAAUUCUGACCAUUAAUUAUAUAAUCGAACAGUUGAAGCUGGAACUGCGAUCAGAGUUCUAGUUAUAGGCUUACAGCAAAAGAAAUCUAUAUCACAUGAAUGUGUGGUCCACAUUUGCAAUACAGCUUGCAUGUGAUUGAUUAAAGUUCAUUAAGCACUGUACAAAAUACUUGUAAAUUGGCCUUUUGUCUAUAAAACUUAGGUUAACAAUAUUGAUAUCAUUCAGUUCACUUCCCCUAAUUAAGCAACUUACAUGCUCAAGUCCAAUAAAUAACCUAAAUAAAACAAUUUACAAUAAUCCAUGCAUUGCAUAAAUUUAAGUAAGUAUGACAACAACAUUCAUCAAAUAAAAGUUCCCCAAAUAUUAUUAAAAUUAAAAAGCAAAGUUGCUAAAUGAGGCAACCAGGCUUGCCUUAUUAUUAAAACGAAACUCAUCCCAAAUAGAUAUAGUUACGUAUUUAUUAGCAGAAUCACAAAGAUACACCGUGAUUUUGACAAAAGCUACACUUCAAAGUUUUUCCAACAUCAUAGUGUCACUGUAAUUUCGUUAAACUCACUGUAUUUUUAUUGUGCACAUAAACAUAUUAACUAAAAUUAAAACAGCAAUGAAAGUACUAAGCAUAUGGCUUGAAGUACUUUUGACAUGAUCAAAUUCUAAGGACAUUGGAAACCAGAAGGAACAGAUUUUUCACAAGCACUAAGUAGGAGACUUAGUGUGAUAGGAACAUUCAAGUUGAUACCAAGAAUAUUAGCCUUAAUAGCAGUACAUAAACAAAGUGCUGCAUCCAAAUCAACCAAACCUUGAAGCAAUGCACAACACUUGCUUGAAGCAGGAGAUCCAAUAACAAUAUUAACAAGUCCUAAAACAUCAGCACAAACACCUAGCUUUAAUGUGUCAGUUGGACAUUUUUUUGAUGUUGAAGGAGGUGUAGGUGUUAUCGAAGGAGUAGGUGGAGGAGGACAAGCCUUAGGUGGCUUAGGUGAAGGUGGUGGAGGGCUAGGCUUAGGUUUUGGAGAUGGAGUUGGUUUGCAUGAACCACAAGCAUGAGAAAAUGUUGAAUAAGCAAGAAGAGAAAACAAUAUAAUUAGUGCACUAAGCUUGUUGGAAGCCAUUGUUAAUUAAGGUUGUAAAAAUUAAAAGAAAUGUGUGUGUGUG